UUAUUUUCUGAAAUUACAUUCUUGAGGUUCGCAACUCUAUCAGUAUUUAAUUUAAUUUUUUUUUCUUGCACCCCUUGCACUCUAAUCCUUAGCAAAUUCAUAAAUUCUUAUGCUACUGCUUCGACACCAGAUACUUGCAACUAAUGGCAAGAUAUUGGGAGGGGGAGGAAAAACUGGGGCGGGUCUGAGAGCAUCUCUGUAUGAGAUCUGACGGCAUAGAUUGGUAGUUUGGAAAAGAGAGAGAAAUUGGCAGUCCAUGUGGCCUUUCUGUCCGUCGUCAAAUUAAAUUUCUAGUCUAUAAUCCCUUCAAUAACUAGCAUUUAGGUUAGGCAUUUAUAUCAACCUUAGUAAUUUCCUAAGAUGUAAGAAUAAG
rnacentral:misc_RNA from 1 species